CAGUCGCCACGGGAAUACGUAGGUGGCAAGCGUUGUCCGGAAUUAUUGGGCGUAAAGGGCUCGCAGGCGGUUUCUUAAGUCUGAUGUGAAAGCCCCCGGCUCAACCGGGGAGGGUCAUUGGAAACUGGGAAACUUGAGUGCAGAAGAGGAGAGUGGAAUUCCACGUGUAGCGGUGAAAUGCGUAGAGAUGUGGAGGAACACCAGUGGCGAAGGCGACUCUCUGGUCUGUAACUGACGCUGAGGAGCGAAAGCGUGGGGAGCGAACAGGAUUAGAGACCCCUGUAGUCCCUGUCUCUUAUAC
rnacentral:rRNA from 1 species